rnacentral:tRNA from 1 species
GUGCCCGUAGCUCAAUCGGAUAGAGCGUCUGACUACGAAUCAGAAGGCUGGGAGUUCGAGUCUCUCCGGGCACGCCA